rnacentral:lncRNA from 1 species
GCCUGGCACAGUGCACCGGACAAGACCGAAUCGCCGGUUAUGAGUGUGGGUGGAAGGUGUGUCUGUGUGUCCGAUGGGUCCGGUGUCACUGUUUACAUGACCUAUUUGUGUGGUUAUAUAGCCCUUUAUUUAAAAGAGAAGUUCCUUUUACGGAGUUAUUAAAUUAUAUGUUUAAGAGCUAAAACGAAAAAAAAAAGCUGCAGAGUAUUUAUAAAAUUGUCUUAAAAAACAAAAACAAAAACAAAAAAAACAUUUGACCGUAUACAUGGAAAAGGGAAGAAAGUAUAGUAGAAACUUUGCUAGUUUAAAAAAAAAAUCCCUUUCUUGUAAACCUGGGGACAGCGCUGUGGCUGUUGGAGUUUAGUUUUUAUACACAGAGUUAUCAGACAUUACUUAUAAAACUUAGUUUAAAAAAAGAAAAAAAAAAAAAAGCCAAGCUGCGAGCCUACCGGAGGCCGUCCUCUUUGAUAUCUCUUUUGCAAUUGUACCGAAAGUGACUUACUCCUCUUCCCUUCCUGCUUCCGUCUUGCCGGUGCCGUGGUGUUGUCCGUGCCUGGUGAGGUUUUGUGCAGCCGUAAAGUGCUGGUGCUUCUGGUGACCUUUGACCUGUGGCUGUCCCUGUGUUUUGUGUGUGUGCGUAUUUGGGUUUUUUUUUUUUUUUUUUGGGUUUUGUUGUGGUUUUGCUUCUGCGGGCUUGCUGGACCUGGGCAGGAUGUACUCCCCUGGGGUACCGGGGCCUGCCUGCGGCUUACCUUCUGCUGCACUUCUCCAUUCCUCUGCCACGUGGUCCCUCUGAGCCUUUGCUUGGCAUUGUGGGUCUAGGGCUUGGGUUAAGGCAGUGGCAGAGUAAGUGAAGUUGGGAGCUAUCGGCCCCCCACGCUGCUUCCACAUCCACCACCUCUGGCCCUGGGUGGUGACAUUGCAGGGACCAAGGUGUCACUGUGGGUGCCCACAGGGCUGUGGCCUACCUGUCCUUGGCCGUCUUCCUUCUGGCCUCAGCUUAGUUCCUAUAGGCUUCGUUGGGGUCUCCGCCCCAGGGCCCUCCCUUGUGGGUUGGGAGACCUGUCACUCACGUGUUUCUGAAGCCCCGUUCUGUGGGGUGUUGUUUCCCAGGCAGAUUGGUCGGGGGCCCCACUGAGGGCAACCAUUCUUCCCUGUGUCACUGUGAGAGCCUGGAGGCCUCCACCAUCGCCAGACAAGGGCUUUGGCCCUAGGGCCAGGUCUGUUCUUCCCCAGUGUCCGCAGCUUUUGGCUCUGGGCCCUCACUCUGCCUCCUUCAGGAUCUGCGUCUUCCAGGGAUCCGCUGUUCGACUUGGAGGUGCUUCUCUGCAGGUUCCAAGCCUGCCUCCUCACCCCACCUUUCCAGUGGAGGCUGCCCACCUUCCAGGCUUGGCUCAGGAAGCUCCUCAUAAGCGGAUACCCACCUGCAAGAGGCUACAUCCCUGUGUGGGCGGUCACAUGGCCUCCUGCUGACAUAGCUGGUGUCUUCUCUGGGGCCCCUGGAUCCCUGAAAAGCACAGAAAUGUGGUCUGGUGAAAGGAAAGACUGGCCUGACAGGCCUUUACCUCGUAGGCAGCAGGAUUUUUACUCAGUUUGACGCAGCGUGCAGGGCUCUGAAAGCAGGACCUGUGCCACCCUGGCGUUUUGGUGGGCUACUAUGGCUCAAGGUGCUCAGACAGUCCCAUUGAUGCCUGAGUUGGAUAUGAGUGGGAAUCUGGACUGUUGAUUCUGAGUUACCAGAUGACCUCAUCCCCUCCCUUUGGUUCUGUGACUGGUAUACAGAAGUGCUGCCUGGCAGCAGAGCUGGUGUGGACCGUGCCCAUGCCUGGAGGACGAGAGGCUUUCUGAGUGUUUUGGUACUGGCUGGGCUGCUGUGUAAAGCUGAGAAUGGCCCAGUGCCUCAGUCCAGCCUCCUGGGAGGAUGAGGAAGAGGAGGCUGCGGCUGGGUAUGUGUUAAACAGGAGUAGUAGGUCUUUGCUUCUGAACAGGAUAGAGCUAUGCUCAAGGCUUUCAGGUUUGCAGCACCUGCUUCUUGAGUCUGGGGAACUUUCCCUGUUGAGCCAGCCCUGCAGCUCCACUCCCUGUCCCUUGCCCUUGAUUUCCUGACAGUAAAUCCUGUGUCCAUUUGUGACUGUUGGCUGUUUCUCUGAUCAUUGUUAAUUCCGUUUUCCUACUGUGAGGGUGUUGUGUUUGACUUUCUGACACAGCGAAUGGAGAGCUUGGGCUGAGGCCAGGUCUCCCAAACUUCUCCGCUAAGUAAACCAUAAUGUGUGACUUCCCUCCUACCUUGACUCUGCCUGACUUCUUCCUUGGACAUAGACACUCAGAUUUCAAAGAAAGUCCACAGUUUCCUCUGUAGAGUAUGGUCCCAGAGAGUCCCCCCUGUGUUGUGUGCAGCUGGGUGUGGUGCCUGCUGUGCAGGGAGCCAGUGGCAACACUGUGUUAACAGGGAUCACCACCAUCACCCGGCUUCCAGCAGGCUGGUCUCAGCUCAUCUUUCAGUUCUAUGUGUGCUCUGUUAGCCUUGGUGAUCAGGGCCAGGGUUUGCAGCUUUGAUAAACUACUUGGAGAUGGUGAGGCCACUUCCCUGCUACCUCCCUCUCUGGUGUGGCCACUUGGCUAAAGCUCCCAUCCGCAGCUGGGAUGUCUGAGCCACAGCCUGCUACACUGUUUCCCCUCUGGGAUCUUCUGAGUUACUUUUUUAGGCUGUGGUUUAGUGAAAGGAACCAACACAUUAACAAUCUCCCCAGAAGCCACUGAAUAAUUCUUGGCAUAUUUUCUCAGUGCCAUUGGCCGCCUGGUUUGGGAGCAGUUGUGGAACAGAGGACAGAUCGGUACCAUACAGAGGCAUGGGUUCGCUGUAGCUGCUCACAGUUUGCCUGUUCCUGGCGUGUGUCCUAGGUGUGUGCUAUACCUGCUGGGCCAGCUACACACAUACGUACCCUGCCCCUGGAGCAACGGCAUUAAUAUAGCACGGGUGUCUCUGGAAGUGUGAGGUAGAGUGUUCUAGGAAGUGUUCCUGAUAAGAUUUCCUUGUUCUCUAGGGCCCCCGUUGGGCUUUUGGCCCCUCCAGCAACUUUAUGCCCCAACCCCACUUUUCCUCCCAUUCUCUGUCUGCUAGUCUCUGAAGCCUUUAACCAAAUGGGAAUGGGUACAGAAAGCCUUCUCCUGGCAACUUAGGGCAACAGGACAAGGGCUAUUGUGUGUCCAGCUCUGUUGGUCUCCUGGUGCUGAGAGGUGUGUCCAAGCAGAGUUGAUCAGCCCCUGCCUGCCCUGCAGGGCUGAAGCCAGGGGGAAGGUUAGUAGAGAGUACCCUAAAUGGGGUGAGGGUCCUUCAACAUCCAAGUGAGGAGGGGCUGUGGUGUGGCUGCAAGGUGAGACCCUGUCUCCUGCACCUGGGUAGGGCCAUAGGGGAUCUGGCUGCAAGGUGAGGCCUGGACUUGGAGAGCAAUCAGUCUCCUGGCCUCAGCAGGCAGCAGCCUUGGUGCCCACCCGUGCCCUGCGCAGUAUUUAUUGCUAAAUUAUUGUCCAGGAGGGGCGGCACUGGGCCUGGCCCCCCGGGUAUUUAUUGCUGUACAUAGUGUAUGUUUGUGAUAUAUAAGGUUUUCUUUAUUUUGUAUAUGAUCAAUAAACGCCUUUU